CAACUUGAGAGUUUGAUCCUGGCUCAGAACGAACGCUGGCGGCAGGCUUAACACAUGCAAGUCGAACGCCCCGCAAGGGGAGUGGCAGACGGGUGAGUAACGCGUGGGAAUCUACCCAUCUCUGCGGAAUAGCUCUGGGAAACUGGAAUUAAUACCGCAUACGCCCUACGGGGGAAAGAUUUAUCGGGGAUGGAUGAGCCCGCGUUGGAUUAGCUAGUUGGUGGGGUAAAGGCCUACCA
rnacentral:ncRNA from 1 species